UUUGUACUAAAUUCUUCAUGUUGUUAAGAUUGGGUAAAUUUAGGGAUUCAUGAAUGGGUCCGUGGUUGAAGCUCAGGAAAAUUAGCUCAAUCGGAUCUGCAAAUGGGAGGAAUACCUAACAGCAGCAUGUAAAGUUUUCUUUUAAUGUGCAGUUACUUAUGCAUUUUUUAAAAUUUCCACCAUUUCCAGGGAUUGGUGUGUUAUGAAAAGGGAUGUGAUAUGUAAGAACUGAAAUUUACCAACCACCCUUUCUUUAAAUGGUUUCUGAAGAAUGGGUUUGAUAGAAAAGAAUCUAAGUGCUCUGCAAAUAUGCUUGCGCCUCUCAUUGUUUGCUUUCUCUUGGGUGCCUGUGAUUCACAUUGGGUAAGCUCCGGAAAAUUAGCUCAAUCGGAUCUGCAAAUGGGAGGAAUACCUAACAGCAGCAGGUAAAGUUUUCUGUUUAUGUGCAGUUUUUAAGUUACUUAUGCAUUUUUUAUUUUUAUCUAUUUUGCCCAUAUUCUGUACGUAAAUUUUGUUCAUCUAGUCUGCAAUUUCUGUAUUUUUCAUUGGCAUAGGUAUUGCAGCGACUGCUGUUGAACUGCUUCCCUCUGGAACUGCUUCUUGGUCUAGGGAGUUUUUGUGUAAAAGGAGACGUAGUGUUUAGCUAUUUCCCAGUAACCUCCCACAACUACCCCGAUAUUCUAUCAAAUUCUUUUUUCUCAUUCCCUCUCCCAGGUUUCCAUUCCACCAUUUUCAGCGAUUAAAGGUGUGUAUCACUGUUAAAAGUAAAAAUACUUCUCAACCUCAAAUCGUUUUGGUCCUGUCAAGCUUAAAUAGGGAUUACAAACUUGGACAUGCAUAUAUGUUUACUUACCAUAAUUCAUUUUUGAGUUUCAUUUUUUGGCAAGCUUAAAUAGGGUUUACAGACUUGGACUAUUAAUCGGUAGUGGGUAUAUGUGUUUCAUUUAGUGGUUUGCAUUACUAAAAUCAAUUCCCUGUCUAUGUUCUCCUCAUUUCUUUUUGGUUAAAUAUGCUUUGGUGCAGUGAAUUGGUGGAUUAUUCAAACAGAAGUACAAACAGAAUUACUGCAUUACUAAGGUAUUUCCCUCAUUUCAUUACUAAGUAUUUCCCUAUCCAUUCUUAAUCUUGUUAGAUGGUAGACAAUCGCAUAGCAUGUUUAAUAUUUACUUUGAAUGUCGUCAAAGACAUCACUUUUUAAUGCCUAUUGUCUUAAUUUUGGUUAUGGUGGUAUAUGUUUGGCUCCCUUCUAUUAGUUUGUGUUAGUCUGUGUUCUGUCAAUUCAAUAGUGUACAUUUCAUGAGUCUUUUAACCAAGGAAGAAAAUAUCGGUAAUAUCAGAAAUAUCGGUAGUCCGAAAACACGGAAAUAUCGAUGGAAAUAUCGGGAUAAUAUCGAUAUCGAUAAAAAUUACAUGGAAACCACGGAAAUUGUAAGAAAAACUUGGAAAUUUUUAUUGAAACUUUGCAGGAUGUUUAUUUAGUCAAUUAUCUAUUAGUUUAUCACAAAAAAUUGGAAGAAAAUGCAUUACAUGAUGGAUUUAACUGAUUUAAGUUGAUUAUACAGCGAGCUGGCAAACACUGUGAGUAAAUAAAAUAUAUAGUAAUUAAUGAAAAAAAAAAUUAAACACACCAUAAUCAUUUAUAUAUAAUGAUUUACUACAACUUUCAAGUAAAACUCAUAUUUUAGUUUUUAAAUCUACCCUAAUUCUGACAUACUGCCGCACCCAUCAAAUCUCUACUACCUUUCUUCCUUCUUCACGUGGGAUGUACUACCUCCCUCAUUUUCUAUUAUUUCUUUCCUUUCCACACACACACACACACAAACACACCCCACUCCCUCAUUUUCUAUUAUUUCUUUCCUUUCCACACACACACACGCACAGACACACACUUUUACACGCACACACGCACAUACACACUUCAAAGUGCAAAUCCACAUCAGGGACCAAGCCAUUUCCUUCUCUCUCACUUCGACUCUCUCUCUCUCUUCUCUGCACUGUCUCUCUUUCUUUCUCUCAAAAUCCUCUUACCUCUCUCCCUCUCUUGCCGUGACCACACACACACAGCAGCAGCACCAUCUGCUCGACUCGAGCAGCUCGAGGACGACACCACCAUCAUCACACAUCAUCAGUCUUCUCUCUCCAGCCUCUGUGAGAAUGGCGGAUGACACCGUGACCUCCAUCGUGGCGCACACUCCGGCGAGCACCAUCACCACCUGUGAGAGGCGCAGAUCUUGGCAGCUGCGACGACGGAGCUCGGUUGCCGUUCCGACGACGGAGAGAGAGAGCGAUAUUAUCGAUAUUAUUGAUAAUAUCGCGAUAUUAUCACGAUAAUCAAUUGGAAUACUCUGAAAAUAUCGCUGUUGGAAAAAAACGAUAUUAUCGGCGAUAUUUCGCCGAUAAUAUCGAUAUUUAAUUCCUUGCUUUUAACUAUGAUCUAAUUUGUGCAAACAUCAUUUUCCAUUAUUGAAUUUCAAUGCUAUGGUUCCCUAUUUUUCUCCAAUUUUACUUUUAUUAAGAAUCAUCAAAUUGAAAUUUCAG
rnacentral:lncRNA from 1 species